UUUGAUCCUGGCUCAGGAUGAACGCUGGCGGCGUNNNUAACACAUGCAAGUCGAACGGUGAACACGGAGCUUGCUCUGUGGGAUCAGUGGCGAACGGGUGAGUAACACGUGAGCAACCUGCCCCUGACUCUGGGAUAAGCGCUGGAAACGGCGUCUAAUACUGGAUACGAGUAGCGACCGCAUGGUCAGUUACUGGAAAGAUUUAUUGGUUGGGGAUGGGCUCGCGGCCUAUCAGCUUGUUGGUGAGGUAAUGGCUCACCAAGGCGUCGACGGGUAGCCGGCCUGAGAGGGUGACCGGCCACACUGGGACUGAGACACGGCCCAGACUCCUACGGGAGGCAGCAGUGGGGAAUAUUGCACAAUGGGCGCAAGCCUGAUGCAGCAACGCCGCGUGAGGGAUGACGGCCUUCGGGUUGUAAACCUCUUUUAGCAGGGAAGAAGCGAAAGUGACGGUACCUGCAGAAAAAGCGCCGGCUAACUACGUGCCAGCAGCCGCGGUAAUACGUAGGGCGCAAGCGUUAUCCGGAAUUAUUGGGCGUAAAGAGCUCGUAGGCGGUUUGUCGCGUCUGCUGUGAAAUCCGGAGGCUCAACCUCCGGCCUGCAGUGGGUACGGGCAGACUAGAGUGCGGUAGGGGAGAUUGGAAUUCCUGGUGUAGCGGUGGAAUGCGCAGAUAUCAGGAGGAACACCGAUGGCGAAGGCAGAUCUCUGGGCCGUAACUGACGCUGAGGAGCGAAAGGGUGGGGAGCAAACAGGCUUAGAUACCCUGGUAGUCCACCCCGUAAACGUUGGGAACUAGUUGUGGGGUCCAUUCCACGGAUUCCGUGACGCA
rnacentral:rRNA from 1 species